AUGAGAAGCCGCCUUUGGGAGAACGAUGGCUCGUCGCGGGUGACUUUAACCAAAUUUAUUGGGCAAGAGACAAGAAUCGUUCUAAUGCAAAUCGUAGUCGCAUCACCCGUUUCCGGAAUGCCCUCAAUUUUGCAAGCUAAAGGAAAUCCACCUAAAAACAGGAGGUUUACAUGGAGCAAUGAGCAAAAUAACCCGACCAUGUCCAAACUUGAUGGUUUCUUCUGCAAUGAGGAUUGGGAUAUCACCUUCGACAAACACAUCAUGCAUGCCUUAUCUUCAUCACUCUCUGACCAUUGCCCACUUCUCCUGGCCAAUGAUGAUAGCCCUCGGCGACCGCAGAGUUUUCACUUUGAGAACUUCUGGACCAACAUGCCAGGCUUCCAGCAAGUCAUCCUAGAGGCAUGGAACGAGCCCUCCCAGCACCACGAUCCUUUCCUAAGGUUAUUCCACAAGUUGACGAAGACCAGUCAGAAACUGCGAGUUUGGAGCAGAACCCUUUUCUCCAAUGCUAAGGUCCAACUACAUAUGGCCUUGAAGAUCAUCCUUCGCCUUGAUGAGGCCCAGGAUGUGCGGAUUCUUAGUCCCGAGGAGGGUUAUAUAUAG
rnacentral:rRNA from 1 species